CGUAACGCGUAUGUAACCUACCUAUAACAGGGCAUAACACUGAGAAAUUGGUACUAAUUCCCCAUAAUAUUCGGAGAGGCAUCUCUCCGGGUUGAAAACUCCGGUGGUUAUAGAUGGACAUGCGUUGUAUUAGCUAGUUGGUGAGGUAACGGCUCACCAAGGCAACGAUACAUAGGGGGACUGAGAGGUUAACCCCCCACCACUGGUACUGAGACACGGACCAGACUCCUACGGGAGGCAGCAUG
rnacentral:rRNA from 1 species